rnacentral:lncRNA from 1 species
CUGGGCCCCACUGCUAUUGUUGUCUCAUGUGUGGUGCAUUCUGACAAUCCCCCUCCCUCUUAGCAGCUAAUCUAUGUCCACGCCUGAGAAGUCUUGUGCAUGCUGAAGAAGGAGCAAACUGUCACUUGAAGAGUUCACUUAUCUGCUUAUGAAGCCAAGCUCCCUCAACGCUUCCCAUCAUCGUGAGACACAGGCCUUCAUUUUCAAAUGACAACUGAAUUUCUUCACUUGCUAUUGGUAUCACUUAUCAGAUUGUACCAGGCUUUCUUUGUCAACAUGUCUCUUCCCAUCUAAAUGAUUAAUUUCUUCAAUGGGAGCCUCAUUUUGCUUAUGUCUAUAACCCUGAUAGAACACUUGUCUGCUAGGAGGAACUUCAAUAA